GAGCUUCACAGCAGAACAUGAAGCUUCAUGUUGGAGCUGAAGAGCUGCUGUGUUCUCUCUGUUCUUCAUUCAGUACCAGAGAAAAGAAUGUUGCUGCUUCUCAUCUGGAUGAUGAUGGUCUCCUUUCAAACUGGAUCCUCUGAGGAUUUACUGAAACCAUUGAAAGAUGAAGUGAUGGAUUUGGAAGGAGAAACUGUCACUCUGUCCUGCAAAUAUUCUGGUUCAAUCCAGCUUUUCUUCUGGUACCAACAAAUGUCCAGUCCAUCUCCACAGUUUCUGAUUAAAGAAUAUGAAGAUGAAAAAGGGAGGUUUUCAGUGAAACAUGACAAACACAACCAGGAGUUUCAUCUACAGAUCUCCUCUGCUGCAGUGACAGACUCUGCUGUGUACUACUGUGCUGUGACGCCCACAGUGACAGGAAACAACAAAACUCUGUACAAAAACCUGCAGAGAAAACACAUUUCUAAAUAAAAUCCACUAGAGGGCGACACACACUGUGAAAAUACUGAUGUGAUGUUUAUCAAACUGGUGGCUUUUUGGUCUGAAAACAAAGAAAACAGAAGUAAAGAUUAGAGACAAAGCAUCUGUAGAAGCACUGGACUCUUUGAUUGGUUGAGUUGAACUUAAAAAAAAGCUCAUUAGCC